rnacentral:rRNA from 1 species
UAGGGAAUCUUCCACAAUGGACGAAAGUCUGAUGGAGCAACGCCGCGUGAGUGAUGAAGGGUUUCGGCUCGUAAAACUCUGUUGUUGGAGAAGAACGGGUGUCAGAGUAACUGUUGACAUCGUGACGGUAUCCAACCAGAAAGCCACGGCUAACUACGUGCCAGCGCCGCGGUAAUACGUAGGUGGCAAGCGUUGUCCGGAUUUAUUGGGCGUAAAGCGAGCGCAGGCGGUUUUUUAGGUCUGAUGUGAAAGCCUUCGGCU